GCCUUUAACAAAGAUGGUGCUUAUGGGGCAGGUUCCCUAACAGUCAGGAUUCCGGUUGCAGUUUUUCUCCCCCGCCCCAAAGAUACGUGGUUGCAGACGGAGAAAUGGAGGCCAGAGACAAACAAGUACUCCGCUUACUUCGCCUGGAGCUGGGUGCAGAAGUAUUGGUGGAGGGACUGGUUCUUCAGUACCUCUACCAGGAAGGAAUCUUGACGGAAAACCAUGUUCAAGAAAUCAAUGCUCAAACCACAGGCCUCCGGAAAACAAUGCUCCUGCUGGAUAUCCUACCUUCCAGGGGCCCUAAAGCAUUUGAUACAUUCCUAGAUUCCCUACAGGAGUUUCCCUGGGUCAGGGAGAAGCUGAAGAAGGCAAGGGAAGAGGCCAUGACCGACCUGCCUGCAGGCAAGAGACAGCUGUGCUAGAAGAAUCGAGGAUUAUAAUAAAUUUGAAAAACCAGAACGGUUCUUCAGUAGCUCUCCUAAUGAGUGUGAAGUAGAAUGGAAUUUUUAAAAGA
rnacentral:sRNA from 1 species